GCUUACGUCCAUAUCACGUUGAAAGCACCGGUUCUCCUCCGAUCACCGAAGUUAAGCAACAUCGAACCUAGUUAGUACUUAGAUGGGUGACCACUUGGGAAAACUAGGUGCUGUAAGCA
rnacentral:rRNA from 1 species